GAUGAACGCUAGCUACAGGCUUAACACAUGCAAGUCGAGCGGAAACGAUGAGAGAGCUUGCUCUCUUAGGCGUCGACCGGCGCACGGGUGAGUAACGCGUAUCCAACCUACCCAUUACAGGGGGCUAACCUUGCGAAAGUCAGACUAAUACCCCAUGGCAUUUUAUGGUGGCAUCAUUAUAGGAUUCAAUAUUUAUUGGUAAUGGAUGGGGAUGCGUCUGAUUAGCUUGUUGGCGGGGUAACGGCCCACCAAGGCAACGAUCAGUAGGGGUUCUGAGAGGAAGGGCCCCCACAUUGGAGCUGAGACACGGUCCAAACUCCUACGGGAGGCAGCAGUGAGGAAUAUUGAGCAAUGGGCGGGAGCUUGAACCAGCCAAGUAGCGUGCAGGAUGACGGCCCUAUGGGUUGUAAACUGCUUUUAUAGGGGAAUAAAGUGAGCUACGUGUAGUUUAUUGCAUGUACCCUAUGAAUAAGGACCGGCUAAUUCCGUG
rnacentral:rRNA from 1 species